rnacentral:rRNA from 1 species
GGGAAGCAGGGAGGACCACCUUCCAAGGCUAAAUACUAACUGGUGACCGAUAGUGGAGCAGUACCGUGAGGGAAAGGUGAAAAGAACCCCGGGAGGGGAGUGAAAGAGAACCUGAAACCCUAUGUUUACAAGCAGUUGGAGAGCGUUAAGGCUCGACAGCGUACUUUUUGUAGAACGGUCCGGCGAGUUACUGUAUGUAGCGAGGUUAAGUACUUUUAAGGUACGGAGCCGAAGGGAAACCGAGUCUUAAUAGGGCGAAUGAGUUGCAUGCAGUAGACCCGAAACCGGGUGAUCUAUCCAUGGGCAGGUUGAAACGAGAGUAAAAUCUCGCGGAGGACCGAACCCGGAACCGUUGAAAAGGUUUGGGAUGACCUGUGGAUAGGGGUGAAAUGCCAAUCGAACUCGGAGAUAGCUGGUUCUCCCCGAAAUAGCUUUAGGGCUAGCCUCAAGGGAGUCUAACGGAGGUAAAGCACUGAAUGGGCUAGGGGCCUUACCGGGUUACCGAACCCUAUCAAACUCAGAAUGCCGUAUAGAUGUUCCUUGGGAGUCAGACUAUGUGAGAUAAGUUUCAUAGUCGAGAGGGAAACAGCCCAGACCAUCAGCUAAGGUCCCAAAAUCACAGUUAAGUGGGGAAGGAUGUGGGUUUGCUAAGACAACUAGGAUGUUGGCUUAGAAGCAGCCACUCAUUUAAAGAGUGCGUAAUAGCUCACUAGUCGAGUGAACCUGCGCCGAAAAUGUCCGGGGCUCAAACUGUGUACCGAAGCUGUGGCUUUGUGUGUGUUUACACACACAAGGGGUAGGGGAGCGUACUGUAUUGGCUGAAGCAUGAUCGAAAGGACAUGUGGACGAUACAGUAGUGAGAAUGCCGGAAUGAGUAGCGAGAGUAAAGUGAGAAUCUUUACCGUCGAAAGCCUAAGGUUUCCUGGGGAAGGUUCGUCCGCCCAGGGUAAGUCGGGACCUAAGCUGAGGCCGAGAGGCGUAGGCGAUGGACAACAGGUUGAAAUUCCUGUACUACCGCUGUUCGUUAUGAGAGAAGUGGGGACGCAGGGGGAUAAGUUAAGCGAGUGACUGGAAGAACUCGUCCAAGGGAGGUAGAUAGACUGGUAGGCAAAUCCGCCAGUUGUUUCGAAGUCCUUAAGGGGAGGGAAAAUAAAGUACCGAAGUGACAGAUUCCGUACUGACGAGAAAAGCCACUAUCGAGAUUAGAGGUACCCGUACCGCAAACCGACACAGGUAGGUGAGGAGAGAAUCCUAAGACGAGCGGGAGAAGCGUUGUUAAGGAACUCGGCAAAUUGACCCCGUAAGUUCGCGAGAAGGGGUGCCUGUAGAGAUACAGGCCGCAGUGAAUAGGCCCAAACAACUGUUUAUCAAAAACACAGGUCUCUGCUAAAUCGAAAGAUGAAGUAUAGGGGCUGACGCCUGCCCGGUGCUGGAAGGUUACGGGGAUCUGUUAGCGCAAGCGAAGCAGUGAACUUAAGCCCCAGUAAACGGCGGCCGUAACUAUAACGGUCCUAAGGUAGCGAAAUUCCUUGUCAGGUAAGUUCUGACCCGCACGAAAGGCGCAAUGAUUUGGGCGCUGUCUCGACAACGCACCCGGUGAAAUUGUAGUACUUGUGAAGAUGCAAGUUACCCGCGACAAGACGGAAAGACCCC